rnacentral:snRNA from 1 species
GUGCUCACUUUAUCAGCACAUAUACAAUUAGAACAAUGCAGAGAUUAGCCUGGCCCCUGUGCAAGGAUGAUAUUCAAAUAAACACUCUGUAGUUUU